GAAAUGCGAUAAGUAGUGUGAAUUGCAGAAUUCAGUGAAUCAUCGAAUCUUUGAACGCACAUUGCGCCCCUUGGUAUUCCAUGGGGCAUGCCUGUUCGAGCGUCAUUUGUACCCUCAAGCUCUGCUUGGUGUUGGGUGUUUGUCCCGUCUCCGCGCGUGGACUCGCCCCAAAGUGAUUGGCAGCCGGCGUACUGGUCCCGGAGCGCAGCACAUGUCGCGCAAACGAGUGCCUUGGUACGGCGGCGUCCAUAAGCCCCUCUCUCACGCUCUUGACCUCGGAUCAGGUAGGGACACCCGCUGAACUUAAGC
rnacentral:misc_RNA from 1 species